CUGAGCCGGAUCACCUCUACCAGAUCACACCAGCUUGAGUUUCUUUGUUAUGCAUGCUUUCCUUUGUUCUGUAACAUUUUGGCGGGAAUGUCAAAUCCACUAUAAAACUUAUAAUUAAUUAUACGGAAAAGACUAUCUAUCAAAAUUCACAUAGAAAAAAUCCAGUGUAUAUGCAGGGAUUCGAACUCAAGAACUUUAGCAUAUCAAGCCACGACA
rnacentral:lncRNA from 1 species